ACGGAGGGUGCAAGCGUUGUUCGGAAUCACUGGGCGUAAAGGGCGCGCAGGCGGUUUGGUAAGUCAGAUGUGAAAGCCCACGGCUUAACCGUGGAAGUGCAUUUGAAACUGCCAGACUUGAGUACCAGAGGGGAAAGUGGAAUUCCCGGUGUGGAGGUGAAAUUCGUAGAUAUCGGGAGGAAGACCGGUGGCGAAGGCGACUUUAUGGCUGGAUACUGACGCGGAGGCGCGAAAGCGUGUGGAGCUUACAG
rnacentral:rRNA from 1 species